GAUGGUUCGUGAUGUCUUGAUAUGCAUGCUAGGGAGUCGUAGUGUGGACCUCAGGUGAGUGGGUCUUUUCCUUUCUACUGAUAUCAUAUAUAUAUAUAUAUAUAUGAUUAACAAUUCCAUAAAUGUUUAUAAAUUGAUUAUUGCUUAUGAUUAUUGUGAAUGCUUUGAAAUACUAUUGCGAACUAUGAAUGUCUUGAUCCUGGUUUAGGGUACGUAGGCAGUCUAACGAGACGUUAGAUGCAACCAUAUAAUAAAUGAGAAUGAAUAAUCGAGACAAUAGCCUAGUUUGGGAAUGGGGCAUUACAAUUUAUGCAUUCUAAACCAUUUGUUUAUAUGUUUAUAUAUCUGGAAAUAUUAUGAUAUGUUGAAUUUUAGACUUACAUCCUCGUAUUUCCAUCUGUAUAUUCCUUGCACAUAAUUAUUGUGAACGCUCCGAAGUACAGGUGAACGCAGGACACACAAGUAAGUUCAGGUAAGUAUACGGUAAUAGUUGAAGUGAUAGGGUUAUGGUAUGACUACAUUUAUGUUUUAAGCAACUCCGACACUGUCGUACAUGUUGCAAUAGUUGGCAACUCCGGCAUUGUCGUACAGGUUGCUUAUGAAUCGUACAUGUUGUAUUAGAUGCAUUUAAAACUCAUAA
rnacentral:lncRNA from 1 species